CUGCCCGGUAGCUAAAUCCGGAAGAGAUAAGUGCUGAAAGCAUCUAAGCACGAAACUUGCCCCGAGAUGAGUUCUCCCUGAGACUUAGAGUCUCCUGAAGGAACGUUGAAGACGACGACGUUGAUAGGCCGGGUGUGUAAGCGCAGCGAUGCGUUGAGCUAACCGGUACUAAUGAACCGUGAGGCUUAACCUUACAACGCCGAAG
rnacentral:rRNA from 1 species